rnacentral:rRNA from 1 species
UACGAAGGGGGCUAGCGUUGCUCGGAAUCACUGGGCGUAAAGGGUGCGUAGGCGGUUCGUUAAGUCAGCUGUGAAAGCCCCGGGCUCAACCUGGGAACUGCGGUUGAAACUGGCGAACUAGAAUCUGGCAGAGGGGGGUGGAAUUCCACGUGUAGCAGUGAAAUGCGUAGAGAUGUGGAGGAACACCGAUGGCGAAGGCAGCCCCCUGGGCUGAGAUUGACGCUCAGGCACGAAAGCGUGGGGAGCAAACAGG